AAGACCUAACAGCUAUGUUAGGAGGGACUGGGGAGACAGAGACAGAGGUAGAGACUGACAGACAGUGUUAAAGACCUAACAGCUAUGUUUGGAGGGGCUGGGGAGACAGAGACAGAGGUAGAGACUGACAGACAGUGUUAAAGACCUAACAGCUAUGUUAGGAAGGACUGGGGAGACAAAGACAGAGGUAGAGACUGACAGA